GAGUGGGACCUAAGACCUGCUAACUCUUUAAUCUGGAAUUAAAAUCCAGCCCUCUCU
rnacentral:tRNA from 1 species